AACGAACGCUGGCGGCAGGCCUAAUACAUGCAAGUCGAACGAACCCUUCGGGGUGAGUGGCGCACGGGUGAGUAACGCGUGGGAACGUGCCCCUGGGUGCGGAACAACAGCUGGAAACGGCUGCUAAUACCGCAUAAUGACUUCGGUCCAAAGAUUUAUCGCCCAGGGAUCGGCCCGCGUCUGAUUAGCUAGUUGGUGAGGUAAAGGCUCACCAAGGCGACGAUCAGUAGCUGGUCUGAGAGGAUGAUCAGCACACUGGGACUGAGACACGGCCCAGACUCCUACGGGAGGCAGCAGUAAGGGAUAUUGGACAAUGGAGGAAACUCUGAUCCAGCCAUGCCGCGUGAGUGAAGAAGGCCUUCGGGUUGUAAACUCUUUCAGUAGUGAAGAUGAUGACGGUAACUACAGAAGAAGCUCCGGCUAACUUCGUGCCAGCAGCCGCGGUAAUACGAAGGGGGCGAGCGUUGUUCGGAAUCACUGGCUUAAGGCGUAC
rnacentral:rRNA from 1 species